CGAGAGGGGGUAAAAGCCCUCGGCGCACGGCUGAGUAACACGCGGAUAAUCUGCCCUAAGGUGGAGGAUAAUCUCGGGAAACUGAGGAUAAUACUCCAUAGGCCUUGGAUGCUGGAAUGCUUCAAGGCUUAAAGCUCCGGCGCCUUAGGAUGAGUCUGCGGCCUAUCAGGUUGUAGUGGGUGUAACGGACCCACUAGCCUACGACGGGUAGGGGCGUUGAGAGACGGAGCCCCCAGAUGGAUUCUGAGACACGAAUCCAGGUCCUACGGGGCGCAGCAGCUGCGAAACCUUCGCAAUGUGGGAAACCACGACGAGGGAAUUCCAAGUGCUAAUACAAUGUAUUAGCUGUUCUCCCGUCUAAAAAACAGGAGAAGUAAGGGCUGGGUAAGACGGGUGCCAGCCGCCGCGGUAAUACCCGCAGCCCGAGUGGUGCUCGAUUUUAUUGAGCUUAAAGCGUACGUAGCCGGUCAUGUAAAUCCUUGGGUAAAUCGGGCAGCUUAACUGUUCGACUUCCGAGGAGACUGCACGACUUGGGACAGGGAGAGGUCAGAGGUACCUCCGGGGUAGGGGUAAAAUCCUGUAAUCCUGGAGGGACACCAGUGGCAAAGGCGUCUGACUAGAACUGAUCCGACGGUGAGGAACGAAGCCCUGGGGCGCAAACGGGAUUAGAUACCCCGGUAGUCCAGGGUGUAAACGCUGCGGGCUUGGUGUCGGGGGUCCUACGGGGGCACCCGGUGCCGGAGAGAAAUUGUCAAGCCUGCCGCUUGGGGAGUACGGUCGCAAGACUGAAACUUAAA
rnacentral:rRNA from 1 species